rnacentral:lncRNA from 1 species
CCUGUGGUUGAUUCAUAAUAAUGGAUAACUCAUCUCUUUUGGUACACAGGUCUAGUUUUGGAGCCCUUCAAGGUUUUCUAAAUGUAGAAGCUGGAAUGGACAACUGAUCUUUACAUGUAAUGUGUGUAUGUGUGUGUGGUAUAUACACAUCUCAAUUUUUGUCUUCAGUAUUAGGCAAGAUUCCACACACCUUUGGUAGUCCCGGUUGUCCAUUUAUGCAUGUGAAAUGUUCUGUGAGUCUUCCUUGGUCACCCUCAUUCAGAUGGAAAUGAGAAAAGUGACAAGCUUGUUACAAUUCCAUUGGUCCUCAGAAGUGACAUCCAGCAAGAUAUGUUUUAGGAAUUAAGUUCCUUGUACUGAUGAAGUGUACCAGAAGCUUACAGAUGAUGAGGGUGGGUUGGCUGGUUUAAAUUUGGUUUUUGUCCAACAUUCAAUGAAAUCGUGCCACUCAUAAUAAUGGAUAACUCAUCUCUUUUGGUACACAGGUCUAGUUUUGGAGCCCUUCAAGGUUUUCUAAAUGUAGAAGCUGGAACGGACAACUGAUCUUUACAUGUAAUGUGUGUGUGUGUGUGUGUGUGUGGUAUAUACACAUCUCAAUUUUUGUCUUCAGUAUUAGGCAAGAUUCCACACACCUUUGGUAGUCCCGGUUGUCCAUUUAUGCAUGUGAAAUGUUCUGUGAGUCUUCCUUGGUCACCCUCAUUCAGAUGGAAAUGAGAAAAGUGACAAGCUUGUUACAAUUCCAUUGGUCCUCAGAAGUGACAUCCAGCAAGAUAUGUUUUAGGAAUUAAGUUCCUUGUACUGAUGAAGUGUACCAGAAGCUUACAGAUGAUGAGGGUGGGUUGGCUGGUUUAAAUUUGGUUUUUGUCCAACAUUCAAUGAAAUCGUGCCACUGACAGUCUGUCAAACUGUGCAAAAAUCUCCAGCAUGAUUGAUGUUUUAGCCCUCCACCAGUGUCGGCUACUAUUUUAUAGCAUAUAUUAAGCAACAAAGACAACAAACAACAAAAAUAUGUGAACCCUUUUUGGUCAUUCCAUUCGGCUCAUUACUUAUAUAUGUACACAAGAUAUAUGAUAUACAUGCCAAAAACAGACAAGUUACAAAGAUUUAAUAUUUAUGUAUGCACACAAAAUAU